UAUUGGGCGUAAAGAGCUCGUAGGCGGUUUGUCGCGUCUGCUGUGAAAACGCGGGGCUUAACCCCGCGCGUGCAGUGGGUACGGGCAGACUAGAGUGCGGUAGGGGAGACUGGAAUUCCUGGAUGUAGCGGUGGAAUGCGCAGAUAUCAGGAGGAACACCGAUGGCGAAGGCAGGUCUCUGGGCCGUUACUGACGCUGAGGAGCGAAAGCAUGGGGAGCGAACAGGAUUAGAUACCCUGGUAGUCCAUGCCGUAAACGUUGGGCACUAGGUGUGGGACCCAUUCCACGGGUUCCGUGCCGCAGCUAACGCAUUAAAGUGCCCCGCCUGGGGAGUACGGCCGCAAGGCUAAAACUCAAAGGAAUUGACGGGGGCCCGCACAAGCGGCGGAGCAUGCGGAUUAAUUCGAUGCAACGCGAAGAACCUUACCAAGGCUUGACAUACACCGGAUCGCUCCAGAGAUGGGGUUUCCGCAAGGUCGGUGUACAGGUGGUGCAUGGUUGUCGUCAGCUCGUGUCGUGAGAUGUUGGGUUAAGUCCCGCAACGAGCGCAACCCUUGUCCUGUGUUGCCAGCGGGUUAUGCCGGGGACUCAUGGGAGACUGCCGGGGUCAACUCGGAGGAAGGUGGGGAUGACGUCAAAUCAUCAUGCCCCUUAUGUCUUGGGCUUCACGCAUGCUACAAUGGCCGGUACAAAGGGCUGCGAUACCGCGAGGUGGAGCGAAUCCCAGAAAGCCGGUCUCAGUUCGGAUUGGGGUCUGCAACUCGACCCCAUGAAGUCGGAGUCGCUAGUAAU
rnacentral:rRNA from 1 species